GGGCGGUUAGCUCAGCGGGAGAGCACUGCCUUCACACGGCAGGGGUCACAAGUUCAAUCCUUGUACCGCCCA
rnacentral:tRNA from 1 species